rnacentral:lncRNA from 1 species
UCGGCAGGCGGGAAAUAUCUGAAAUCAAAAUUUCGUUAAGUAUCAGGCCAGUGACAGUAAAAGCAAAGAACGAAGAAAAAAUAAAAUAAUGUAACCACCCUUACCCUCGGGGCGCGCCGAGCUCAGACCUACGCUCGCCAGGGCGUCCUCCCGCAGGAGCUCGGUCAGGUCGUUGCCCCUCCCGAGGGCUCGCACGGAAUCCAGAGUCCUCAGCUCCCUCCUCGAGGGCUCGGAGAGCUUAUUGAGGGUCUUCAACCGAGGGUUCCCCCACCUCGGGUCGAACCCCCAAGGCGCCUCGGACGCCAGGAAGAAAAACUUCCCCUUCCACUCAUGAAUCGAGGAAGGGGCACCCUGGAAGAGUGACAUACCGCCCCGAAAGGCGAAGUAUAGCCACCCUGCAUCCGCCGGGUUCUUCUUUAACAGAAAACACCGGCGGAAGAGGCCUACCGAGAUCGGGAUCCCGUGC